rnacentral:rRNA from 1 species
GACGAACGCUGGCGGCGUGCUUAACACAUGCAAGUCGAACGGAAAGGCCCUGCUUUUGUGGGGUGCUCGAGUGGCGAACGGGCGAGUAACACGUGAGUAACCUGCCCUUGACUUUGGGAUAACUUCAGGAAACUGGGGCUAAUACCGGAUAGGAGCUCCUGCUGCAUGGUGGGGGUUGGAAAGUUUCGGCGGUUGGGGAUGGACUCGCGGCUUAUCAGCUUGUUGGUGGGGUAGUGGCUUACCAAGGCUUUGACGGGUAGCCGGCCUGAGAGGGUGACCGGCCACAUUGGGACUGAGAUACGGCCCAGACUCCUACGGGAGGCAGCAGUGGGGAAUAUUGCACAAUGGGCGGAAGCCUGAUGCAGCAACGCCGCGUGCGGGAUGACGGCCUUCGGGUUGUAAACCGCUUUCGCCUGUGACGAGGCGUGAGUGACGGUAAUGGGUAAAGAAGCACCGGCUAACUACGUG